AGCAGCCGCGGUAAUUCCAGCUCCAAUAGCGUAUAUUAAAGUUGUUGCAGUUAAAAAGCUCGUAGUUGAAUUUCGGGGUCAGUAGGCUGGUCAUGCCACUGGUAUGUGCUGGUCUUACUGAUUCCUCCUUCCUGACGAACCGUAAUGCCAUUAAUUUGGUGUUGCGGGGAGUUUGGACUGUUACUUUGAAAAAAUUAGAGUGUUUAAAGCAGGCUAACGCUUGAAUACAUUAGCAUGGAAUAAUGGAAUAGGACGUUCGAUCCUAUUUUGUUGGUUUCUAGGAUUGACGUAAUGAUUAAUAGGGAUAGUUGGGGGCAUUAGUAUUCAAUUGUCAGAGGUGAAAUUCUUGGAUUUAUUGAAGACUAACUACUGCGAAAGCAUUUGCCAAGGAUGUUUUC
rnacentral:rRNA from 1 species